UGAGUACUAAGGUCUCAGUCCUAAGAUGGA
rnacentral:piRNA from 1 species